AUGGACUCAGAGACAUAGUGAGAGGUUCAUGAGCACUGACCCAUGCAUGCUUUUGAGUCUACCGUCUUCCUUCAGUUUGAGUGAUCAUUGCCUUUUUUCUUUCAUGUUUUUCCAGAUAAAAUAAUGUAGGUGGUAUUGACGUCAACAUGGGCUGUCCAAAAGAAUAUUCCACCAAGGUAAAUUGAUUUCUUUAUAUUUCUCAGAAGAUUAAAGGACGCUAACAAGACAUGAUGGCUAGGUACAGAACCCAUUUCUGGACUAGAUCCUGAGCUAGAUGGGGAAAAUGCUUGAAAGUCUGUUAGUGGAUCAAUGGGCAAAACUGGAACAGGGCCAGGCAUGGUGAUCCAUGCCUGUAAUCCCAGUUAUUUGGGAGGCUGAGGCAGGAGGAUUGCAAAUAUGAAGCCAUCCCAGGCAACUUAGGAGGACCUGUCUCAAAAUAAAACAAUAAAAGAACUGGGGAUGCACUCAGUGGUAGAGUACUUGCCUAGCAUGUACAAGGCCCCGGGGUCAACCUCAGGUACUGUUUAAAGAAAAA
rnacentral:lncRNA from 1 species